rnacentral:rRNA from 1 species
GACGAACGCUGGCGGCGUGCUUAACACAUGCAAGUCGAACGGAAAGGCACUGCUUUUGUGGGGUGCUCGAGUGGCGAACGGGUGAGUAACACGUGAGUAACCUGCCCUUGACUUUGGGAUAACUUCAGGAAACUGGGGCUAAUACCGGAUAGGAGCUCCUGCUGCAUGGUGGGGGUUGGAAAGUUUCGGCGGUUGGGGAUGGACUCGCGGCUUAUCAGCUUGUUGGUGGGGUAGUGGCUUACCAAGGCUUUGACGGGUAGCCGGCCUGAGAGGGUGACCGGCCACAUUGGGACUGAGAUACGGCCCAGACUCCUACGUGAGGCAGCAGUGGGGAAUAUUGCACAAUGGGCGGAAGCGUGAUGCAGCAACGCCGCGUGCGGGAUGACGGCCUUCGGGUUAUAAACCGCUUUCGCCUGUGACGAAGCGUGAGUGACGGUAAUGGGUAAAGAAGCACCGGCUAACUACGUG